AGGUGGAAGCAUGGCGACAUGUGGAGCUGACUGAUACUAAUCGAUCGAGGACUUAACCACA
rnacentral:rRNA from 1 species